rnacentral:rRNA from 1 species
GGUUAAGCGACUAAGCGUACACGGUGGAUGCCCUGGCAGUCAGAGGCGAUGAAGGGCGUGCUAAUCUGCGAUAAGCGCCGGUAAGGUGAUAUGAACCGUUAUAACCGGCGAUACCCGAAUGGGGAAACCCAGUGUGACUCGUCACACUAUCAUUAACUGAAUCCAUAGGUUAAUGAGGCGAACCGGGGGAACUGAAACAUCUAAGUACCCCGAGGAAAAGAAAUCAACCGAGAUUCCCCCAGUAGCGGCGAGCGAACGGGGAGGAGCCCAGAGCCUGAAUCAGCAUGUGUGUUAGUGGAAGCGUCUGGAAAGGCGCGCGAUACAGGGUGACAGCCCCGUACACAAAAGCGCAUGUGUUGUGAGCUCGAUGAGUAGGGCGGGACACGUGGUAUCCUGUCUGAAUAUGGGGGGACCAUCCUCCAAGGCUAAAUACUCCUGACUGACCGAUAGUGAACCAGUACCGUGAGGGAAAGGCGAAAAGAACCCCGGCGAGGGGAGUGAAAAAGAACCUGAAACCGUGUACGUACAAGCAGUGGGAG